ACUCAAAGGAAUUGACGGGGGCCCGCACAAGCGGUGGAGUAUGUGGUUUAAUUCGAAGCAACGCGCAGAACCUUACCUACCCUUAACAUCCCGGGACAGCCGCAGAGAUGUGGUCUUCCCUUCGGGGACUCGGUGAUAGGUGCUGCAUGGCUGUCGUCAGCUCGUGUCGUAAGAUGUCCGGUUAAGUCCGAUAACGAGCGCAACCCUUGUCCUUAGUUACCAGCAUUAAGUUGGGGACUCUGAGGAGACUGCCGGUGUUAAACCGGAGGAAGGCGGGGAUGACGUCAAGUCCUCAUGGCCCUUACGGGUAGGGCUACACACGUACUACAAUGGCAGGAACAGACCGUCGCGAAGCCGUAAGGUGGAGCUAAUCGGUAAAACACUGUCUCAGUCCGGAUUGAGGUCUGCAACUCGACCUCAUGAAGCUGGAAUCGCUAGUAAUCGCUGAUCAGCAAGCAGCGGUGAAUACGUUCUCGGGCCUUGCACACACCGCCCGU
rnacentral:rRNA from 1 species